GUAUAAAUCCGAAGAGGAAAACGGCCAAUACUGAAGCUGGCCAUCUCCCCCCAUGCGGAGUGGAAAUGCCUGGGAGGUGGUGGAGUCCACUGCGGGAGGGUCUCUCCUUCCCCGCAGUCGAGACACCAUGGGAGAAGGGGGGGAAACCUCGGAGGUGGUGGCCGCCUCUUCUUCGUCGUUCUCCCUGGCAGAGGAGGAGGGUUGUGCUCUGUACGGCGGGGGGUCCUCUGUGAGAAGGUCAAUGAGGGGUCCGCCGCUAUCAGGGAGAACCUGGGGCUUAGGAGGUUUGGACUUUAUAGAGGGGGUAAGGGCAGGGUAAAGGGCAGAUCGGGACGGAGGUUGCGCAGAAGGACCGGGCGGGAGGACGGGAGCUGUCGGCAAGGGAGGAAGUUUAGGAGACACAAACGGUUUGACCCACGGAGGGGGGUCAUAGGCAAGUGCCUCCCAGGUGACGAUAUAUGGGACCUGAUCCGGGUGUCCGUGGGGACCAGGACAAAACACUCUAGACUUAACCUGAGAGAUAAUACUUAAAUUGAAAGUACCAUCCUGAGGCCAUCCCACAUUGAAAGUUGGCCAUUCAGCGGAACAGAAGGUAAUCUAGCGCCUCUUCUUGACAUCCACAGACUGGUUGGAUGCAAUGCGCUGGACAUCUCCCCAGUGCUGCAAGGUUAAACUCAGAGGGGUAGUUACGGUCUGUCCCAUGAUCUCGAAAACACUUAAAGACAGAAGAAAACUAACGAAGAACAAAAGAACAACAAACAAAUCAGACGCGCGGCGCGGCUUCGGCGUAAAACCGAAAGCAAAAAUUCAGACGGGGGCGGGAAGUGUCUCUGUCUCUCGUCCCCCAACAAAGCCACGUACAGUGGCGGAGCUCCAAAAAGUCCGACUCGGGUAGGUUAACUGAUACAGAAUGGGCCACAAAACGGGCCCCCGAGGCCGCUGGGACGUCUCCCAGGGGCUGCGGCCGGGAAUACGAACUCGUCAGUUCUUCCGCGGAACCGCCAGAUACAGAUCUAGUUAGCUAACUAGUACAGACGCAGGCGCAAACAUUGGAUGCCGGCACAAACACGCACGAAGACAGAGACAGACACGAAACGACCGCUGGCCAGCUUACCUCCCGGCGGGGGGUCGGUGGUCCCUGGGCAGGGGUCUCCAAAUCUCGGUGGGACCUCCAAAUGAAAGACCCCCGACGUGGGUAGUCAAUCAAUCUGAGGAGACCCUCUCAAGGACCAGCGAGACCACGAUUCGGAUGCAAACAGCAAGAGGCUUUAUUGAGAACACGGGUACCCGGGCGACGCAGUCUAUCGGAGGACUGGCGCGCCGAGUGUGGAGUUUUUACCCUUUUUAUAGGGCUGGGGCUGGGGAGCAAAAAGCGCGGUUACAGAAGCGAGAAGCGAGCUGGUUGGUUAGUUCGAAUAAGGCUUGGGGUAUUUCUCGGUCAUUUGGGGAAACUGAGGUGGGACUUUUUAGUUCUAAACAAUGUCUAUUUUCAAGAAAUGGGUAUGGGAGGGGUACGAGGAAAGGGUCUAAUGAAGGUUCAACAAUGGGCACACACCUGGUCAGAACAUUGGCAGACACACAGGUUCAAGGAGUGGCCAGAGCACUGUGCACCUCUAUUUUUCUAAAUCAGUGAAGCUAGUUCUGCUAACACUGACGUCUGAGAGCCAUCUGUUCUUGGCCCUGAGCCGGGGCCCAGGUGCUUGACCACCGAUAUUUGGCCCCUGUCCCAGUAUUAUUCAGCCUUAAUCUUUAACUGUUAAUCUUUAACUGAACUUUCUUGUAACUUUUGAGAACUCAGCUCUGGUACUUUUUCAUGCCUUGCAAAAUGGCGUUACUGCAGCUAGCUUGCUAAGCCUGAUGGUGGGGUCUUUCA
rnacentral:lncRNA from 1 species